AACGAACGCUGGCGGCAGGCUUAACACAUGCAAGUCGAACGCCCCGCAAGGGGAGUGGCAGACGGGUGAGUAACGCGUGGGAAUCUACCCAGUUCUACGGAACAACUGAGGGAAACUUCAGCUAAUACCGUAUACGCCCUACGGGGGAAAGAUUUAUCGGAAUUGGAUGAGCCCGCGUUGGAUUAGCUAGUUGGUGGGGUAAUGGCCUACCAAGGCGACGAUCCAUAGCUGGUUUGAGAGGAUGAUCAGCCACACUGGGACUGAGACACGGCCCAGACUCCUACGGGAGGCAGCAGUGGGGAAUAUUGGACAAUGGGCGAAAGCCUGAUCCAGCCAUGCCGCGUGAGUGAUGAAGGCCCUAGGGUUGUAAAGCUCUUUCAGUGGGGAAGAUAAUGACGGUACCCACAGAAGAAGCCCCGGCUAACUUCGUGCCAGCAGCCGCCGUAACAC
rnacentral:rRNA from 1 species